GACUGAGUCAAAGACAGAAACACCAAAUAUUCACCGGCGUCACUUCCUGAUCCAGGAUCCAAAGAGGACGUUGCACUUACUCAGCUUCUUCCCAUGAACGUCUUCACUCUGCAGCGCUCUGCUGUCUGGACCAGGUCAGAGAUGCUCUUCAAACAGCUGACAGACCACAUUACAAGAACAUGGUGUGAGUCCGAUUUGAUGUUCCAGUCAACGCUGAGAGACCUUAACCAGGAAGUCAGAGGUCAGCUGAUGCUGCGAGCAGGAAAUGAACCAAGGGAGAGGUUCACUCUACUCAAUGUCAAAGAAAAUAUGCUGAUGGACAGGGAAUCAGUUACUAUAUGAUGACGUCAUCUUGACGUUGACGAGGAGGACGAGAAAAACUAGUUUUGUCCUGCAGAUGGCGAUCAUGCAUCGUGUUCAGAGAGCCGACACUUUGAUGGUGCUGCUCUACUCAACUUAGUUUAGCCUGGGUUGGACUCUAUAUGAGCAGCUUCCACUCUGGUUUCACUGUUAAAUACACUUGUUUGAUUUCAAUUAUAAAAGUUUAAAAUUAAAUAUUUUAUUACAAAAUUAUUUGAUGGUAAAUUUUCUUGAGGGUCAAAUAUCUUGUUUGAUUUGAGGAAUGAACUGUUAAGGUGGAAAAAAUGAAUCAUGUUAAAAUACUUUAAAUCAGUGCAGAUGUAUAAUGUAAUUUAACAUGUUGAUAAUAGUUGUAGUGGGCUUGUAAUGUAAAUGUGUCUGAUUAAAUGUGACAUUAAUGGUGACGCUGCAUAAACCUGAUAAAACAGUUCUAUUAGUGGGUCUGUGUGAUCAGCAUCAGUGGGUUAAGGUGAGGCCUUGACUAGUAGAACGUCAUGUUGGUGUAUGACAACACAUGAGCCAACAUCAGACUCCGAGCGCUACGAUGCUAAAGAUCAGAAGAUCCAGUGUGACAUCAUCGUUACCUGGCAACAGCAGCCCUCAUCUGACUUUAUUGGAGGAUAUUUACACCAGCAACACUGUUUAGUUUGAUAUGACGGAUUAACAACAUGCUGUGAUAUCCAGUUCAUCUGUAAUAGAUACUGGAUCUAAUCAGUCAGCAGAUAUUUGAUCAGCUUAUUUAUAACUAUACUAGAAACAAACACAACUGUGUUGGUGAUUCAUGCAAACUUGCAUAUCAGCCUUUGAAGGUUUUGUAGUAUUGAGAACAAAGAGGUUGUGUUAGGGCUGAAAAGCCCGACUUGUUCUCCUCUGCAGGUCAUCAAAUGCACAGGAUGGCUAAAACACAGAAUCAUAAUCAAUUUAGGCCAAUUCUUUCAUUUGUGGGUCAACAUCACCCUCUAGUGGACACAA